rnacentral:lncRNA from 8 species
UGGGAGGCUAAAGGAAAAAAGAAAUCAGUAGCUUUUAAAGCUAGGCCUUGCUGUGACUGCGAAGAUAAUGAAAGCCGCCUUGUGUUGUGGGGUAGAAAGCAUUUCAAAGGCAGGGCCCGACUCAGGGUUACAGUGCUGAAAACCCUGUGUGUUUGUUUUGUGUGGAGUGCCAAGCCAGGCAUCCACAGUCUACCAUCUUCGGGGUGAAAUGGUGAAGACGAGUUCCAGGUAGUGCGAAUAGCCCCGGCUUUAAUUUUUCUACUUUCUCUCUCUAGGCGGCCCUUGUGUCAUGCUCAAUCCGCCACAGAAGAAGUGGGAGUGGAGCAUGGUUCUCUUAUUCUGCUUGGUAUGAUGAGGAGCUUUCACUGAAGACUGGAGUUCCCCGGUUGUUUUUCCUUCAGUCGCCAGGCAAUGGAAUACCUCUCAGAAGGGGUAGCGAGCAAAGGACCAGCGUUCAGCGAGGAGCAUGAGCGGCAGUACGCUGAAGUAGGAGCACUAGCUCUUGUGAAAAAUCUGCGGACUAGGGGGCUAGUAAAGAGGGAGAGAUGCCCAGAGAGCAUACAGCUGUUUCGGUCGAGCGAGAGCGAGUUCUCCGGCGGCUGAAGAGUGGUUCUUGAAUCGGACAGAUGAUGUUCCAUCCUCUUUUCUGCCAAUCACCCAAAGAUGAGGACAACACCCAAACUGGCACGUAAGUAGCAUUGCAGUCUAGAGUGGUCCGUGGACAGUGAAAAGCAGCAUGCGCGAAUGCAGUGCACAGCAGUGUGAGAGUAUCGCAUUAUGAGCUUCAGUGGUUCGUGGGUUCUUUUUCCAUUGAUGUAUCGGACAUAAUUUAAAGCUUGCUCAACACUCGCAAACAUUAGAUUUUAAGUAGAUUUUCUAUUAUAUUCUAACUAUGCAACGUGUAAGUGUUUUUUGGUUUGUUUCUUUUGUAGGCUACUGGCUUUGUUUUGUUUUUGUAGACUGGUUUAGAAUGUUCCAAUUAUAUUUUUGGGACAUUUUGUUUGAAAUUCUCCUUAUUUCUCAGCAGAAGUAAUGUUUGAUCUUUAGCCUAAAAACUAAUCUCAAUAAUUUUCAAGAAUGUUUCAUUUGGAUUUGAACUAUUCUGGCCAACUUGCUGAGAUUAGGCUGUCAAUCAUAAAUAGGCCUAUUGAAACAGGGUUGGUCCAAAGUAAAUGUUUAAAAUAUAUUUAUAAAUUUCUGACUCUAUACCUACAAUACUGAUUUCGAGUUUGGAGUUAAGGAAAAAUAUACGAAAUUAGAGAAAAAUCAUUAAAAUAAUUGUUUUGCUUAAGCUAAGCAAGUCGAAGAAUAUUAGUUUCAAAAUUGCACUCUUUAACGUCCACUCCCUGUCCCUUUGGUAUUUCAUAGGCUGUAUGUAUUGAGUGCUCAAUAGGUAAUAUUUUCUGUGGUGUACUGCUCUCCAAUCACUGGCACGGCCCCUAGUGGACAAUAAUAUGAAGCUUGGAGAUUCAUAAUUCUAUAUAUUUUCUUACCUGAAGUCUCUCUCUCUUCCGCUCUCUCGCUCGCUGAGAAAAGGAAGGAUCUGUUGAAAAACUAAACCCAUUUAUUAAAUAAACAUAUUACAUCCAAUUAGCAAUAUCAGGGCUGGUUUGGUUAUGUUGGAUUAUAUUGAGUAAAUAUUGAUUUUUAAGGAGAAAGUGUGAUGGGAGAUUGCGUAAUGAGUUAGGCUAUAGGCCUAAGGGUUAUUAUGGCAGGCUUGGUUUAUUAUCGGGUGAGGUGUCCAAAGGGAGCAAUAGUGACUACAUUUUUGAGAAGGGGAGGCUUUAAAAAAACGAUCUAUAACAAAUUCCCCCUUUAAGACAUUUUCACACUCAUUAUGUUCAAGAGUUGAUAGGGAUGGGCCUGAAUUUAAUGUUUGCUCUUACUAAAAAUGACGAAAUUAAUUUGCCAUGAAUUGCAGUGCUUUUCUUUUUUAGUUUAUACAUAAAUAAAAUACCCUAUACAUUUGUUAUCGUGCCUUUUGCUCC